CCUACACCAGUUGAUAAGGAGUCCAUUUCAUGCUUAGAUUUCUUGAGUCCCCCAUUCGCAUUGAAGCCAGCUUCAGGCCUCCCUCUCUUUCUUACAUCCAUCAUCGAUUUACUGUUAGUACCACAGAUCCAGAACGAAGGAACAAACACAAGAGCCGACACCCAGACUCAAAAAAACCAAAUCAAAGAAUAAUUGAAGUAACCCAGGGAUUGAAAACAGUAGAGGAAAAACCCUAACCCUGAAAUUGAGAGGAUAUAAUUAACAGAAGCAAAAAC
rnacentral:misc_RNA from 1 species